GGGUUAACAUAAGUUGCUCAUUCUUGAAUUUGCUUUGGAAAUAUUAAUAUUACUUUUAGCUGAAACAAGAUGAAGAUGAAGCUUUUGCAGCUCUUCAUCACUGCAUCCAUUCCAGUCUUGAAAACCCUAUUGAUUACUGCCCUUGGCUCAUAUCUUGCUACAGAACGCGUCAAUAUUCUGGGUGAAGAUACUAGGAAGCACUUAAACAGUGUUGCAUUUUUCGUGUUCAACCCAGCCUUGGUUGGUUCCAGCCUUGCUGAGACCAUAACAUAUGACAGUAUGAUCAAGCUGUGGUUCAUGCCUGUGAACAUCCUACUGACCUUUGUUGUUGGUUCAAUAUUUGGAUGGAUACUCAACUUAUUAACAAGAACUCCUCCACAUCUGCGAGGCCUUAUUAUGGGUUUCUGUGCUGCUGGAAAUUUAGGGAACUUGCUCCUCAUUAUAAUUCCGGCUGUUUGUAAAGAAAAAGGGAGUCCAUUUGGAGCUGCUGAUGUUUGUUAUACUUCUGGAAUGGCAUAUGCUUCACUUUCAAUGGCGAUAUCUGCUGUUUAUUUGUGGUCCUAUGUUUAUAAUAUUAUGAGGAUAGCUUCAAAGAGAAACACUCUUGAUCAAGACACGAUCCAAUCUUUGGAAAGAUCCUCCAUAACAAACCAAAUCAUGGCACCUCCGGGCAAACUAAAGAACCGUGUAAUGAAGGUGGUUAAGAAGCUCAAUCUAGAAACGAUCUUUUCCCCCUCAAUAGUUGCAGCGAUCAUCGGCUUUGUAAUCGGAGUCGUCCCUCCCGUUCGAAAAGUAUUCAUAGAUGAUGGCGCUCCUCUACGGGUGAUUAAUGACACUGUUUCCUUGUUGGGUGGUGGAGCUAUCCCUACCGUCACUCUGAUUAUAGGAGGAAACCUUCUUAAAGGUAAUGGAUAACUCCAUCCACAGAGUCUAAGAGGGUCUGGGAUACAAACUUCUCUCGUUAUCGGCGUCAUCAUUGUUCGUUAUGUUGCGCUGCCUCUCACCGGCAUAUUGAUCGUUAAAGGGGCAAUGAAAUUUGGCUUAGUACACUCUGAUCCGUUGUAUCUGUUUGUUCUUCUCCUUCAAUUUUCACUCCCACCUGCAGUGAACAUAGCAACCAUCACUCAAUUGUUCGGAGCAGGAGAGAAGGAGUGUUCAGUUAUCAUGCUAUGGACUUAUGUUCUUGCUUCUGUAGCGCUUACGUUUUGGUCUGCCUUCUUCAUGUGGCUUGUCGUCUAA